AGAUCCUCUUCAUGUGACCUGUGGGCUUCCCUUUGUCAUCCUAUGCCUGAGAAUAUAUGAAGGGGGCUGGGAAGGCAAAGGGACGUUCAGUUGUCAUCACCAAC
rnacentral:pre_miRNA from 17 species